rnacentral:rRNA from 1 species
UACAGAGGGGGGCAAGCGUUUGUUCGGAAUUACUGGGCGUAAAGGGCGCGUAGGCGGCCUUCUAAGUCGAACGUGAAAUCCCCGGGCUCAACCCGGGAACUGCGUCCGAUACUGGGAAGGCUUGAAUCCGGGAGAGGGAUGCAGAAUUCCAGGUGUAGCGGUGAAAUGCGUAGAUAUCUGGAGGAAUACCGGUGGCGAAGGCGGCAUCCUGGACCGGCAUUGACGCGUGAGUGAGCGAAAGCCAGGGGAGCAAACGG